AUUGAACGCUGGCGGCAGGCCUAACACAUGCAAGUCGAACGGUAGCACAGAGAGCUUGCUCUCGGGUGACGAGUGGCGGACGGGUGAGUAAUGUCUGGGAAACUGCCCGAUGGAGGGGGAUAACUACUGGAAACGGUAGCUAAUACCGCAUAACGUCUUCGGACCAAAGUGGGGGACCUUCGGGCCUCACACCAUCGGAUGUGCCCAGAUGGGAUUAGCUAGUAGGUGGGGUAACGGCUCACCUAGGCGACGAUCCCUAGCUGGUCUGAGAGGAUGACCAGCCACACUGGAACUGAGACACGGUCCAGACUCCUACGGGAGGCAGCAGUGGGGAAUAUUGCACAAUGGGCGCAAGCCUGAUGCAGCCAUGCCGCGUGUAUGAAGAAGGCCUUCGGGUUGUAAAGUACUUUCAGUGGGGAGGAAGGCGAUGAAGUUAAUAACUUCGUCGAUUGACGUUACCCGCAGAAGAAGCACCGGCUAACUCCGUG
rnacentral:rRNA from 1 species